rnacentral:rRNA from 1 species
UACGUAGGGUGCAAGCGUUGUCCGGAAUUAUUGGGCGUAAAGAGCUCGUAGGCGGUCUGUCGCGUCGGUCGUGAAAACUUGGGGCUUAACCCUGAGCUUGCGGUCGAUACGGGCAUGACUGGAGUUCGGCAGGGGAGACUGGAAUUCCUGGUGUAGCGGUGAAAUGCGCAGAUAUCAGGAGGAACACCGGUGGCGAAGGCGGGUCUCUGGGCCGAUACUGACGCUGAGGAGCGAAAGCGUGGGGAGCGAACAGGAUUAG